UACAGGGGGGGCAAGCGUUGUUCGGAAUUACUGGGCGUAAAGGGCGCGUAGGCGGCCAACUAAGUCACACGUGAAAUCCCCAGGCUUAACCUGGGAACUGCGUGUGAUACUAGAUGGCUUGAAUUCGGGAGAGGGAUGCGGAAUUCCAGGUGUAGCGGUGAAAUGUGUAGAGAUCGGGAGGAACACCGGUGGCGAAGGCGGGUCUCUGGGCAUCUCCUGACGCUGAGGCGCGAAAGCGUGGGGAGCAAACGGG
rnacentral:rRNA from 1 species